rnacentral:rRNA from 1 species
AUUGAACGCUGGCGGCAGGCUUAACACAUGCAAGUCGAGCGGGGGAGGUUGCUUCGGUAACUGACCUAGCGGCGGACGGGUGAGUAAUGCUUAGGAAUCUGCCUAUUAGUGGGGGACAACAUUCCGAAAGGGAUGCUAAUACCGCAUACGCCCUACGGGGGAAAGUAGGGGAUCUUCGGACCUUGCGCUAAUAGAUGAGCCUAAGUCGGAUUAGCUAGUUGGUGGGGUAAAGGCCUACCAAGGCGACGAUCUGUAGCGGGUCUGAGAGGAUGAACCGCCACACUGGGACUGAGACACGGCCCAGACUCCUACGGGAGGCAGCAGUGGGGAAUAUUGGACAAUGGGCGGAAGCCUGAUCCAGCCAUGCCGCGUGUGUGAAGAAGGCCUUUUGGUUGUAAAGCACUUUAAGCGAGGAGGAGGCUACUAGUACUAAUACUACUGGAUAGUGGACGUUACUCGCAGAAUAGGCACCGGCUAACUCUGUGCCAGCCGCCGCCGUAACAC